rnacentral:rRNA from 1 species
GACGAACGCUGGCGGCGUGCCUAAUACAUGCAAGUAGAACGCACAGUUUAUACCGUAGCUUGCUACACCAUAGACUGUGAGUUGCGAACGGGUGAGUAACGCGUAGGUAACCUGCCUGGUAGCGGGGGAUAACUAUUGGAAACGAUAGCUAAUACCGCAUAAUAUUAAUUAUUGCAUGAUAAUUAAUUGAAAGGUGCAGUUGCACCACUACCAGAUGGACCUGCGUUGUAUUAGCUAGUAGGUGAGGUAACGGCUCACCUAGGCGACGAUACAUAGCCGACCUGAGAGGGUGAUCGGCCACACUGGGACUGAGACACGGCCCAGACUCCUACGGGAGGCAGCAGUAGGGAAUCUUCGGCAAUGGACGAAAGUCUGACCGAGCAACGCCGCGUGAGUGAAGAAGGUUUUCGGAUCGUAAAGCUCUGUUGUAAGAGAAGAACGGGUGUGAGAGUGGAAAGUUCACACUGUGACGGUAUCUUACCAGAAAGGGACGGCUAACUACGU